rnacentral:rRNA from 1 species
CCUACGGGCGGCUGCAGUGGGGAAUAUUGCACAAUGGGGGGAACCCUGAUGCAGCGACGCCGCGUGGGUGAAGGAGUAUUUCGGUAUGUAAAGCCCUAUCAGCAUGGAAGAACAAUGACGGUACCUGACUAAGAAGCACCGGCUAAAUACGUGCCAGCAGCCGCGGUAAUACGUAUGGUGCAAGCGUUAUCCGGAUUUACUGGGUGUAAAGGGAGCGUAGGCGGGAAAGCAAGUUGAAUGUUUAAGGUACGGGCUCAACCUGUACAAGCGUUCAAAACUGUUUUUCUUGAGUGGAGUAGAGGUAAGCGGAAUUCCUAGUGUAGCGGUGAAAUGCGUAAAUAUUAGGAGGAACACCAGUGGCGAAGGCGGCUUACUGGGCUUUAACUGACGCUGAGGCUCGAAAGCGUGGGUAGCAAACAGGAUUAGAUACCCUAGUAGUC